UUAAGGCGGCCAUAGCGGUGGGGUUACUCCCGUACCCAUCCCGAACACGGAAGAUAAGCCCGCCUGCGUUCCGGUCAGUACUGGAGUGCGCGAGCCUCUGGGAAAUCCGGUUCGCCGCCUACU
rnacentral:rRNA from 3 species